AUUGAACGCUGGCGGCAGGCCUAACACAUGCAAGUCGAGCGGAUGAAGGGAGCUUGCUCCUGGAUUCAGCGGCGGACGGGUGAGUAAUGCCUAUGAAUCUGCCUGGUAGUGGGGGAUAACGUCCGGAAACGGGCGCUAAUACCGCAUACGUCCUGCGGGAGAAAGAGGGGGAUCUUCGGACCUCACGCUCUCAGAUGAGCCUAGGUCGGACUAGCUAGUUGGUGGGGUAAAGGCCUACCUAGCCGACGAUCCGUAACUGGUCUGAGAGGAGGGUCAGUCACACUGGAACGGAGACACGGACCAGACUCCUGCGGGAGGGAGCAGUGGGGAAUAUGGGACAAUAGGCGAAAACCUGAUCCAGCCAUGGCGCGUGUGUGAAGAAGGUCUUCGGAUUGUAAAGCACUUUAAGUUGGGAGGAAGGGCAGUAAGUUAAGACCUUGCUGUUUUGGCGUUACCAACAGAAUAAGCACCGGCUAACUUCGUG
rnacentral:rRNA from 1 species